GACGAACGCUGGCGGCGUGCUUAACACAUGCAAGUCGAACGGAAAGGCCCUGCUUUUGUGGGGUGCUCGAGUGGCGAACGGGUGAGUAACACGUGAGUAACCUGCCCUUGACUUUGGGAUAACUUCAGGAAACUGGGGCUAAUACCGGAUAGGAGCUCCUGCUGCAUGGUGGGGGUUGGAAAGUUUCGGCGGUUGGGGAUGGACUCGCGGCUUAUCAGCUUGUUGGUGGGGUAGUGGCUUACCAAGGCUUUGACGGGUAGCCGGCCUGAGAGGGUGACCGGCCACAUUGGGACUGGGAUACGGCCCAGACUCCUACGGGAGGCAGCAGUGGAGAAUAUUGCACAAUGGGCGGAGGCCGGAUGCAGCAACGCCGCGUGCGGGAUGACGGCCUUCGGGUUGUAAACCGCUUUCGCCUGUGACGAAGCGUGAGUGACGGUAAUGGGUAAAGAAGCACCGGCUAACUACGU
rnacentral:rRNA from 1 species